rnacentral:tRNA from 2 species
GGGUGAUUAGCUCAGUUGGUAGAGCAUCUCCUUUACACGGAGGGGGUCGCAGGUUCGAAUCCUGCACGACCCACCA